rnacentral:misc_RNA from 1 species
UUGAUUUUGAUUUGUUACCUUCUGUGCUGGCUCCGGCAUGUGCACGUUGGUGACUUUCAUGCAAUACCCUUUUGUGAACCUUUGGCCUCAUGCCGGCUUUGGCUGGCAGAGGAUUUUACACAAACUGAAAUGUAAUGAUAAACUGUUGUGUGCAUAUGCACUACUAAUA